AAUGGCUGCAGUAAUUUGACUGUACAAAGGUAGCAUAAUCAUUAGUUUUUUAAUUAAAAGCUUGUAUGAAAGGUUGGACGAAAUAAAAUCUGUCUCUUUUUAAAAAAAUUAGAAUUUUAUUUUUAAGUUAAAAAGCUUAAAUUUUUAUAAAAGACGAGAAGACCCUAUAGAGUUUUAUAAUUUUAAUUUAGUAAUUAAUUUAGAUUUAUUUAUUUUAUUUUAUUUAAAAUUAUUUUAUUGGGGUAAUAAAAAGAUUAAAAAAAUUCUUUUUUAUAUAAAUCAUUAAUAUAUGAAAAUUUAUGAUCCAUUAAGUUUUGAUUAUAAGAUUAAAUUACCUUAGGGAUAACAGCGUAAUUUUUUUUUAGAGUUCUUAUCGAUAAAAAAGUUUGCGACCUCGAUGUUGGAUUAAAGAUUAAUUUAGGUGUAGAAGUUUAAAUUUUUGGUCUGUUCGACCAUUGAAUCUUUACAUGAUCUGAGUUCAAACCGGUGUAAGCCAGGUCGGUUUCUAUCU
rnacentral:rRNA from 1 species